rnacentral:rRNA from 1 species
CAGGGAUUACCUCAGUAACGGCGAGUGAAGCGGUAACAGCUCAAAUUUGAAAUCGGGGCCCUCCUGGGUCCCGAGUUGUAAUUUGUAGAAGAUGCUUCGGGUGCGGCCCCGGCCUAAGGGCCUUGGAACAGGACGUCAUAGAGGGUGAGAAUCCCGUCUGUGGUCGGGCGCCUGUGCCCGUGUGAAGCUCUUUCGACGAGUCGAGUUGUUUGGGAAUGCAGCUCAAAAUGGGUGGUAAAUUUCAUCUAAAGCUAAAUAUUGGCCAGAGACCGAUAGCGCACAAGUAGAGUGAUCGAAAGAUGAAAAGCACUUUGGAAAGAGAGUUAAACAGUACGUGAAAUUGUUGAAAGGGAAGCGCUUGCAACCAGACUUGCGUGCGGCCGAUCAUCCAGCGUUCUCGCUGGUGCACUCGGCCCUGCGCAGGCCAGCAUCGGUUCCAGUGGCUGGAGAAAGGCCCGGGGAACGUAGCUCCUCUCGGGGAGUGUUAUAGCCCCGGGUGCCAUGCAGCCCACCGGGACCGAGGACCGCGCUCCGGCUAGGAUGCUGGCGUAAUGGUUGUAAGCGACCCGUCUUGAAACACGGACCAAGGAGUCUAACAUCUAUGCGAGUGUUUGGGUGCCAAAACCCAUGCGCGGAAUGAAAGUGAACGGAGGUGAGAGCCCUUCAGGGUGCAUCAUCGACCGAUCCUGAUGUCUUCGGAUGGAUUUGAGUAGGAGCAUAGCUGUUGGGACCCGAAAGAUGGUGAACUAUGCCUGAAUAGGGUGAAGCCAGAGGAAACUCUGGUGGAGGCUCGCAGCGGUUCUGACGUGCAAAUCGAUCGUCAAAUUUGGGUAUAGGGGCGAAAGACUAAUCGAACCAUCUAGUAGCUGGUUCCUGCCGAAGUUUCCCUCAGGAUAGCAGUGUUGUAUUCAGUUUUAUGAGGUAAAGCGAAUGNUUAGAGGCCUUGGGGUUGAAACAACCUUAACCUAUUCUCAAACUUUAAAUAUGUAAGAAGUCCUUGUUGCUUAA